UUUGGUGUGUGCAGAGUCGCUGCUGUGCCCUAUGGCUUUUUAUUCCUAUGUGAUAGUAUUUUGGCCUCACAUAGGGGUGAAAGCCAUGGGAUACAGGGUGAGAAACGCAUCUGCAAUUAC
rnacentral:pre_miRNA from 17 species